rnacentral:rRNA from 1 species
GACGAACGCUGGCGGCGUGCCUAACACAUGCAAGUCGAGCGAAUGAAGUUCCUUCGGGAAUGGAUUUAGCGGCGGACGGGUGAGUAACACGUGGGCAACCUGCCUCAUAGAGGGGAAUAGCCUUCCGAAAGGGAGAUUAAUACCGCAUAAGAUUGUAGUACCGCAUGAUACAGCAAUUAAAGGAGCAAUCCGCUAUGAGAUGGGCCCGCGGCGCAUUAGCUAGUUGGUGAGGUAACGGCUCACCAAGGCGACGAUACGUAGCCGACCUGAGAGGGUGAUCGGCCACAUUGGGGCUGAGACACGGCCCAGACUCCUACGGGAGGCAGCAGUGGGGAAUAUUGCACAAUGGGGGAAACCCUGAUGCAGCAACGCCGCGUGAGUGAUGACGGCCUUCGGGUUGUAAAGCUCUGUCUUCAGGGACGAUAAUGACGGUACCUGAGGAGGAAGCCACGGCUAACUACGUGCCAGCCGCCGCGGUAA